GACGGAGGAUGCAAGCGUUAUCCGGAUUGAUUGGGCGUAAAGCGUCUGUAGGUGGCUUGGUAAGUCUGCUGUCAAAGCCCCGGGCUUAACCCUGGACAGGCAGUGGAAACUACCGAGCUUGAGUACGGUAGGGGCAGAGGGAAUUCCCGGUGGAGCGGUGAAAUGCGUAGAGAUCGGGAAGAACGCCAACAGCGAAGGCACUCUGCUGGGCCGACACUGACACUCAGAGACGAAAGCUAGGGGAGCGAAUGGG
rnacentral:rRNA from 2 species